AGAGGGAUUGCUUGGUCAAAUGGUGGUUUCAUUCCCAGAUUUCCAAGGAAUCUCUACACUGCUUUCCAAAUUGGCUGCACCAAUUUGCAGUCCCACCAGCAAG
rnacentral:pre_miRNA from 1 species